rnacentral:rRNA from 1 species
AAUAGAUACCCUGGUAGUCCACGCCGUAAACGAUGAGUGCUAGGUGUUGGUGGGGACACCCAUCAGUGCCGCAGCUAACGCAUUAAGCACUCCGCCUGGGGAGUACGGUCGCAAGACUGAAACUCAAAGGAAUUGACGGGGACCCGCACAAGCAGCGGAGCAUGUGGUUUAAUUCGACGCAACGCGAAGAACCUUACCAAGGCUUGACAUCCCUUUGACCGGAUUAGAGAUAGUCCUUUCUCUUCGGAGACAGAGGAGACAGGUGGUGCAUGGUUGUCGUCAGCUCGUGUCGUGAGAUGUUGGGUUAAGUCCCGCAACGAGCGCAACCCUUGCCUUUAGUUGCCAUCAGGUAAAGCUGGGCACUCUAGAGGGACUGCCGGUGACAAACCGGAGGAAGGUGGGGAUGACGUCAAAUCAUCAUGCCCCUUAUGUCCUGGGCUACACACGUGCUACAAUGGUCGGUACAACGGGAAGCGAGACUGCGAAGUUUAGCCAAUCCCAAUAAGCCGAUCCCAGUUCGGAUUGU